UUCUUUGCUAAUAGUUUUUUUUUUUAGUUCCUUGCUUCAAAUAUAUAUAUUUGAACAUAAGAAGAUUAACAAAAUAUGAAUAUAAGUUUUAUAUAUCUUGUUUAUUGCUUUCAACAUUUUUACAUUUCUCCUAUGCUGUAUAUAUUGUUCUUUUCUCAUUUAUCAAUAUCUUUAUAUCUAAAAAAUUAGAAUUUAAAAAGGUUAAUUAGUAAGAUGAAAAAAAUAUUACAUAAUUAGAUGUCUAAUUACUAUUGGUCCUUUAAAAUCCUAUGUGGAUCGGAUCCGCGCUACAGUGCGGAAGAAAUUGCCGGGUUUUUUUGGUUUUAA
rnacentral:lncRNA from 1 species